AUCCCCAGGCUCCCCAACCCCGGGGACAGAGCCGCGAGCCAGGCAGGAGCCCAGUCCCUGGAGGAGCUUUCCCCACAGGACGUGAUCCUUGGGGAACCACGAGCCUUUCGUUCCCGGCGGCCCCAGGGCCAUCCUGCAAGGGUUGGCCCCCCCCUACACCCCAGCCUCCCCCCGGGGCCACGGCCCCGUCGGUCGGGGUCCCCUUCGAGGUGGAGAGCGAUCAGGGGGAACAGGGCAGCCGCUCCCCCUGGGGUCCCGGCCUGAAGGGCGAGCCGAGGGCUGCGCCGGGCCGGCCAAUCUUGGGGGGCUGUGAGCAGGUUUCAGGGGGGCCGCCAAGCAGGGCCGGCAUUAGACUCGCUGGGGCCCAGGGCAGGAAGCCGAAACCCCACCGCCUGGGGCCAGUGCCGGGUUCACAAUGGCGCCACGGAGCCGGGCCCAUAGAAGGGGCCCCGGCCUGCUCUGCUUGCACUGCGCCCCGAGAACCCGACAACCCGCUGGCUCCCCGCCCGCCCCCCGCUUGCUCCUCUCGGCCGGCCCGCCAAGGGCUCCGCUCCCUGGCCCCACCCGCCGGCUCCUCUCUGCCCCCUGGCCGGACCCCAGUGCACCUCCGGCUCCGGGCAGUCUCUGCUUCCCACCACCUGUGGAGCCCCCCGCCCCCCCGUCUCCCCAAUGCUGAGCCACCUGGGACUGGUGCAGAAGCCUGGCCAGCCUCGGGCAGUUUGGGGGGGAGCAGUGAGGGGGGCUUGGCUGGGCCCCUCCAGGCAAGUGGGUCCUGAGAGAGCCCGGCCGGGGCAAGCCCUGGCCUGGCUGUUCUCACCACUCCCGAGGGGCCGCAGCGAUUCCCGGCCCGGGAACCAGACUAGCCCUGGCCACGCUGCCGGCUGAGGCCGACGGACACAGUCGCCCCCCAGCAGGGCUGAAUCGUUCGGAAGUAUGUCAGAAAACUUGUCCUGGCAUUGAACCAUUACUCCGACAGGAAUGGCGAGGCCUGGUACCUGGUGAAUAACGUCCGGGCAAGGGUCAGCGAAGUGGAGAGGAACCCGGACGUUCUGGCCUAUCCUGUGCGACUCUCCAAGCGAGGGAAAUCAUCCGUGGAGCUGUUCUACGAGGCUCUGAGAGAUGCGAGGCCUUCGUCCCAUUAUACAACACAGUGCUGCCCCAUUCUCCGGGUCUCUGACGUACCCCCUUUUCCUGCUAUCUGAGCACCCCGGGCGGUCGGGCGUGCCAUUAUCCAGAAGUGAAACACAGAGAGGCUUAAGUGACUUGCCCAAGGUCAUCUGUGGUGGAGCAGGAAUUGAACCCACAUUCCCCAAAUGUAACUGUAAACGGAAUGAUCAUCGUGCAGGGGUGUUUCCAAUGGGGUUCUGCUGGGGUUGGUUCUUGGGCCUGCUCUAAUGACUUUUAUCAAUGAGCUGGAAGAAAACAUAAAAUCAUCAUGGAUCAGGAUUACAAAUGACACAAACAUUGGGGGUGUGGUAAAUAAUGAAGAGGACCGGUCACUGAUACGGAGCGAUUUGGUAGACUGGGCCCAAGCAAACAAUGUAUAUUUUAAUACAGCAAAAUGUAGACAUCUAGAAACAGGGGUGCAGGCCGUACUUACAGGAUGGGGGACUCGAACCUGGGAAGCAGGUCGUGGUGGAUAACCCGUUGAACACAAGCUCCUGGUGCGACACAAUGGCCAAAAGGGGUAA